UGGGGAAUAUUGCGCAAUGGGCGAAAGCCUGACGCAGCGACGCCGCGUGAGGGAUGAAGGUUUUCGGAUCGUAAACCUCUGUCAGAAGGGAAGAAACCGCACUGUGCUAAUCAGCAGUGCCUUGACGGUACCUUCAAAGGAAGCACCGGCUAACUCCGUGCCAGCAGCCGCGGUAAUACGGAGGGUGCAAGCGUUAAUCGGAAUUACUGGGCGUAAAGCGCACGUAGGCUGCUUUGUAAGUCAGGGGUGAAAUCCCACGGCUCAACCGUGGAACUGCCUUUGAUACCGCUUAGCUUGAAUCCGGGAGAGAGUGGCGGAAUUCCAGGUGUAGGAGUGAAAUCCGUAGAUAUCUGGAGGAACAUCAGUGGCGAAGGCGGUCACCUGGACCGGUAUUGACGCUGAGGUGCGAAAGCGUGGGGAGCAAACAGG
rnacentral:rRNA from 1 species